UACGGGGGGAGCAAGCGUUGUUCGGAUUUACUGGGCGUAAAGGGCGCGUAGGCGGCCAGCACAAGUCAGUUGUGAAAUCUCCGAGCUUAACUCGGAAAGGUCAACUGAUACUGUGCGGCUAGAGUGCGGAAGGGGCAACUGGAAUUCUUGGUGUAGCGGUGAAAUGCGUAGAUAUCGAGAGGAACACCUGCGGCGAAGGCGGGUUGCUGGGCCGACACUGACGCUGAUGCGCGAAAGCUAGGGGAGCAAACAGG
rnacentral:rRNA from 1 species